rnacentral:rRNA from 1 species
CUAAGAAUAUUCCGCAAUGGACGGAAGUCUGACGGAGCGACGCCGCGUGGAUGACGAAGGCCGAAAGGUUGUAAAGUUCUUUUGCUGGGGAAGAAUAACCGCAGGAGGGAAUGCCUGUGGGAUGACAAGAACCGGCGAAUAAGCCCCGGCCAACUACGUGCCAGCAGUCGCGGUAACACGUAGGGGGCGAGCGUUGUUCGGAAUUACUGGGCGUAAAGGGCAUGUAGGCGGCUUGGAAAGCCUGGCGUGAAAGUCUGCAGCUUAACUGCAGGGGUGCGCUGGGAACUGCUGAGCUUGAGUGACGGAGAGGGAGCUGGAAUUCCUGGUGUAGGGGUGAAAUCUGUAGAUAUCAGGAAGAACACCGAUGGCGAAGGCAAGCUCCUGGCCGAUGACUGACGCUGAGGUGCGAAAGUGUGGGGAUCAAACAGGAUUAGAUACCCUGGUAGUCCACACAGUCAACGAUGUGCACUAGGUGCUGGGGCGGUAGCUUCGGUGCCGGAGCGAACGUGGUAAGUGCACCGCCUGGGGAGUAUGCUCGCAAGGGUGAAACUCAAUGAA